AGUGAAAUAUUUUUUGAACCUAUUUGCUUUAGUAAAGCUUUAGCUCUGGAAGGUGAAAUUUUAUAUCCUGGAAUUCACCCAUGAGCUCAGCUUAUAGGAACAUUGAAUAUAAUAAUUUGCUUUUUACAGAGACUGGAAAUUACAGAGUUGAUGACAGGAGAAACCGAUUCUCUCUGAAGAUGAAAUAUUGA
rnacentral:lncRNA from 1 species